rnacentral:rRNA from 1 species
AGCGAACGCUGGCGGCAUGCCUAACACAUGCAAGUCGCACGGGGGGGCUUCGGCCUCCCAGUGGCGGACGGGUGAGGAACGCGUAGGGACCUGUCGAGGGGUGGGGGAUAACCGCGGGAAACUGCGGCUAAUACCGCAUGACGCCGCGGCGUGACAGCCGGGGCCAAAGGCGAAAGCCGCCCGCCGAGGGGCCUGCGUCCGAUUAGCUGGUUGGCGGGGUAGCGGCCCACCAAGGCGUCGAUCGGUAGCUGGUCUGAGAGGGUGAUCAGCCACACCGGGACUGAGACACGGCCCGGACUCCUACGGGAGGCAGCAGUGGGGAAUAUUGGACAAUGGGCGCAGGCCUGAUCCAGCAAUGCCGCGUGGGUGAAGAAGGUCUUCGGAUUGUAAAGCCCUUUCGGCGGGGACGAUGGUGACGGUACCCGCAGAAGAAGCCCCGGCUAACUUCGUG